UGAGGAAUAUUGCGCAAUGGGCGAAAGCCUGACGCAGCAACGCCGCGUGAGGGACGAAGGCCUUCGGGUCGUAAACCUCUUUUCUGGGGAAAGAGCAAGGACGGUACCUCAGGAAUAAGUCUCGGCUAACUACGUGCCAGCAGCCGCGGUAAAACGUAGGAGGCGAGCGUUAUCCGGAUUUACUGGGCGUAAAGCGCACGCAGGCGGCUUCGUUAGUCGGGUGUGAAAGCUCCUAGCUUAACUGGGAGAGGCCAUUCGAUACUGCGAGGCUUGAGGUUGGGAGAGGGGUGUGGAAUUCCCGGUGUAGUGGUGGAAUGCGUAGAUAUCGGGAGGAACACCUGUGGCGAAAGCGGCACCCUGGCCCACACCUGACGCUGAGGUGCGAAAGCGUGGGGAGUAAACAGGAUUAGAUACCCUGGUAAUCCACGCUGUAAACGAUGUCAACUGGGUGUCGGUAGCUUUACGCUAUCGGUGCCGAAGCAAACGCGUUAAGUUGACCGCCUGGGGACUACGGCCGCAAGGCUA
rnacentral:rRNA from 1 species